CCCGGCUGCGCCCCGCUAACUCGACACCCACACACUACCUUUUUUCAGAUGCGGCCGCGACAGCCACUGGACCUAGGAGAGCGCUCGGACGCCAUGUUGGCUUCCGGCAAAGCUCUCCGCAAAGGUUCUACGCACGCGCAAUGACGCGCCGAACACCGACGUCUCACGAAACGCAUGCGCGCCUGAAACUCCACAAACUACCCGCUCCUUACUUCUCCGGCACCAUAGGGCGUAUUGGUUGUUAUUACUCAUUAUUUUUAACUAACCUGUAAGAUUCUACAAGCAAACAUAUUCAAAAUUGAUAUUGUCCUUGGAUGUUUCUUGAUAUACCAAAAAAUCUAAGAAGCAAAGAGUUCUGGACUUGGAGUCAGGAAGGCCUGCCUUUAAAUCUUGCA
rnacentral:lncRNA from 1 species